CCAAGGGGCCCUCAGCUGCCAGGAUCAGGGACAGGCUGGAGUUCUCAGAGGACACCAGUCUCUGCUCAUGAUUUCACUUCACCGUGUGAGGCUUCAGUGGAUGGCUAAGAGGAUGGGAAUUCCGUUAUUCAUUUCCAGUUCAUUGAUUUGUCAGGGGCCCAUUGCUGGUCGGCCUUGUCUCCAGUUCUGCGCCCUCCCCUGCUCCAGACCAUGCCUACUGCCAACCAUAGGUGUCCCAUGGGAGGGGCUUCUUUUUGCUCCAGGCAGUGGACAUCCACCGGCUGUGUCUGUUCUCCUUUCCGGUGCGUCUCUUAGUGAUGCUCCUGAUGAGAGAUGAAGUAAAAAGCCAGAGCACCGCGUCUG